UGAUCAAUGUUUAAAGAAAAAAUCACCAGAAUAAUCAUCUUCCUCCGCCUUCUUCUUUAAAUCAACCAAAGUCCAAGGAAUAUACAAGUUAAAAAGGAAACAAACAGAAAGAGAUUCAAGUUUUUUCAAUGAUUUCCUUUCAUCCUCAUCCUCAUCUUCAUUCAUUCACCUUUUACUCUUACCUGUUAUUCCCAUUCAGAUAAUACAUAAUAUCCAGAGUAGAUAUAAAUGAAAUCUAUCGUCAGUAAAAAAAAAGACACCUUGGGAGUGAAAAUAGAUUGACAUGAAGUAUAAUUUACUCUCAAAUAAUUUAUCAUGCUGAUGUAUUAUAAAUUAAUAUGUUGUAAAUAGAUUAUAGUUAGACAUAUAAUAUAUAACAAGAUUGGUGACGAAAAUGAGAGAGAGAGAGUAGGAAGAUGAUGAUAAAAGAAAGUAAAAGGAAACAGAAAAUGCUGAAGAUGAGGAUGAACAGAGGAAUAUGAUAAAGAUGAGGGAAGAGAGAGAGAUUGAAAGAUAAUGAUGAUAAUGAUACUGAUGCCACUGAACAAGAAAGGAGGUUCAGUGAUGAUAAUGAUAAGAAGAUAGAAAAAGGUAAAAAAAGUUCAACAAUCAAAGGUAAAUUUUCAUGAAUUGGCUAUGAAAAUGGAGGAAAAGUUAUUAAGCAGUUUGAAAUGAAAGAUGAGGAUGAAGAUAAAUGCAAUUGAUGAUGACAAUAAUGAUAAUGAUGAUGAUGAUAUUAUCAAGUGAAAAGAUAAAAAAAAGUAAAUUAGUUGCGUUUUAGCAUUAAAUACAAUUGGGUGGUGACUCUGAUGAUUUAAUGAUGAAAAGCAAUAUAUACAAUCAACUACAAGAAAGAGUGAGUGAGAGAGACGAGGAAGAUGAAUGAAGAAUCGAAAGGGAAACAAACCUUUAACAGACAGACAGAGAAAGAGAGAGAGAGACACAGAAGGAAAAGGAAAUCAAGUGAAGACAGACCAAUAUAACACUUGGAAUGAGUGAGGAUGAUGAUCAGGGAUGAUAAAUAAGGAAGAUGAUUUCUAAAUGAAUACAACUGAACAAAAGUAUCAAUGUAAACCAACAGGCCAACACCAUCAACAUCCCAGAAUCCCAGAAUCCCCCAAAUAUCAAAGCAAUACAACAACAAGAACAAGAUAUUAUUAUAUAACCGUGAGGAUCAUUUUGUAAGGGUGAAUGUUAUUUUAUUUUAUCCCUCUGAUUUGGCUACAGGGGUGAAUCUCACCCACUCUCAGCUCUACCUCUCCGGCUCCCAUUGUACAUCUCUCUCUCUCUCUCUCUCUCUCUCUCUCUCUCUCUCUCUCUCUCUCUCUCUCUCUCUCUCUCUCUCUCUCUCUCUCUCGUGACAGACAUUCAUUAAGAGACAAUGAAGAAAUGAAUAACGGUAAAAAAAAGUGAAACUUUCCUGAUUUAUGUAUAUUGGUUGUAAUUUAAUUGAACACAAUUGGAAACUGAUUGCUAGAUCUAUAUAAUAGUUUCAACUUGGAAUCCAUUUCCAAUCAAUAGGAAUAAGAUUGAUUAGGGAGAAAGAAAAAGUAAAGAAAAAGACUAAUCAAGUUUCACCAGUGAUUAAAGAUUAUCCAUCCAAGGAAUUAUAUCAACAACGAAUUGAAAAUGACAAUUACUUUCACGAUAAUGUCACCGAUAAUGAUGAUAACCACAACAAGAGCCACAAAUGAUGAUAAUGAUUGUCCAUCCUCUGUCCAUGUAUAACAAUCAACCUUGAUUACAGAAUCAAACCCACAAGCAGUUACAUCGUAAUCAAGUUUCACUUUUAAUCGUAAGAAAAUGAAAGAGAACAAAAAAAAACGAGUCUAAUUGUAAUUGUCCUUUUCCUCCUCUUCAUCCUCCUCCUCAGAUAUUAUCAUCAUCAUCAUCAAUUGAAGAUGAUAAUAUCUUCACCUACUUAAUAUCCCUUUUACCCUGAGUUGUUUUACUUUCAUGAUCCCUGAUAAUCAAGCCACUGAUCAGUUAAAUUGAUUACACUUACCAACAAUCACUAACAAAGACAAAUAACCAUUUUAAUCACCAUUGAUUAAAGAGCCAACAAUCAAACCAGAAUCAUUAACAAUCAUCAUCAUCAUCAUCAUCAUCAUCAUCAUAUUUUGAUUGUCUAAUAUCACCUUUCCCAUAUUAUCCUUAAUAACAAUCUACCUAAUAAGCUAAUUAAUAAGCUAAUACAAUCAACUAAUCAUUUACAAGAUGAAAACAGGAUAAGGAAAACAAAAAACUCAAUCAACUAACCAUAAUAAUGAC